UACGUAGGUGUCAAGCGUUGUCCGGAAUUAUUGGGCGUAAAGCGCGCGCAGGCGGUCCUUUAAGUCUGAUGUGAAAGCCCACGGCUCAACCGUGGAGGGUCAUUGGAAACUGGGGGACUUGAGUGCAGAAGAGGAGAGUGGAAUUCCACGUGUAGCGGUGAAAUGCGCAGAUAUCAGGAAGAACACCCGUGGCGAAGGCGGCUCUCUGGGACGGUACUGACGCUGAGACGCGAAAGCGUGGGGAGCGAACAGG
rnacentral:rRNA from 1 species